rnacentral:rRNA from 1 species
GCCACAGUCAUAUCACCCUGUAGCCCAAGACUGGAUGCCUAUUGAAGCAGGGUUGAGCCUGGUCAGUACCUGGAUGGGAGACCUCCUGGGAAAACUAGGUUGCUGCUGGAA